rnacentral:rRNA from 1 species
AUUGAACGCUGGCGGCAUGCUUUACACAUGCAAGUCGAACGGCAGCGCGGGCUUCGGCCUGGCGGCGAGUGGCGAACGGGUGAGUAAUGCAUCGGAACGUGCCCAGUAGUGGGGGAUAGCCCGGCGAAAGCCGGAUUAAUACCGCAUACGACCUGAGGGUGAAAGCGGGGGACCGAAAGGCCUCGCGCUAUUGGAGCGGCCGAUGUCGGAUUAGCUAGUUGGUGGGGUAAAGGCUUACCAAGGCGACGAUCCGUAGCUGGUCUGAGAGGACGACCAGCCAACACGGGGAUGGAGACCGGCCCCGGACUCCUAGGGAGGGCAGAGUGGGGGAUUUUGGACAAAGGGGGGAAACCUGAACCAAGCCAGGCGGGGGGGGGAAAGAGGCCCUCGGGGUGGUAACCCGCUUUUUUUGGGAAAAAAAUCUUUGGGGUUAUACCCCGGGGGGAUGACGGUACCGGAAGAAUAAGCACCGGCUAACUACGUG